AACGAACGCUGGCGGCAGGCUUAACACAUGCAAGUCGAACGCACCUUUCGGGGUGAGUGGCAGACGGGUGAGUAACGCGUGGGAAUCUACCCUUCUCUACGGGAUAGCUCCGGGAAACUGGAAUUAAUACCGUAUACGUCCUGAGGGAGAAAGAUUUAUCGGGGAAGGAUGAGCCCGCGUUGGAUUAGCUAGUUGGUGGGGUAAAGGCCUACCAAGGCGACGAUCCAUAGCUGGUCUAAGAGGAUGAUCAGCCACAUUGGGACUGAGACACGGCCCAAACUCCUACGGGAGGCAGCAGUGGGGAAUACUGGACAAUGGGCGCAAGCCUGAUCCAGCCAUGCCGCGUGAGUGAUGAAGGCCCUAGGGUUGUAAAGCUCUUUCAGUGGGGACGAUAAUGACGGUACCCACAGAAGAAGCCCCGGCUAACUUCGUG
rnacentral:rRNA from 1 species